UUGAUUUGAAUUUUAGAAUUUAAUUUAAAAUUUGUUGAGUAAUUAGUCUUGAAUAUUAAUUUGAGUUUAGAGUAAUAAAAGUGAAUUUUAGUUAAAAUAUUAAAAGCAGUGAUUAAAGUAUGUACCUUUUGCAUAAUGGUUAUUUGAUUUUUUUUUAGAAUUAAAGUUCCCGAAACAAAGCGAUCUAUUUUUUAUAAGGUUAACUGUUGAAACAGUUUCCACUUAGUUUAGGAUAGAAGCAAAACACUUUCGAGCUUUGUGAUAUCUGGUUUUUUGAGAAAGACAUUUAGUGUUGCCUUAAUAUUUGUAUCUUUUUUAAAAAAAUUAUUAAAGGUGAAUUAAGAGUUGAGGAUAAAUGGUUAAGCAUUUAUUUAUUUAUUUUUAAUGAAAGUUUAAAAAUUGAUCGUGGCUUAGAGUUGGCAUCGAUUUAAUUAUAUUAAUAUGUUAAUUUUUUUAUUUUUUAAUUAGUAAUUUUAUUGGUUUUUGAGUAUCAUAACCUAGUUUUAAAAAUAAUGAAAAUUAUUGAUUAUGAAUAAAUUAGUAGUAAUAAUUUUAGAUUUAUAUUUGUUGUUUAAAUUUUUUUUUAAUUUUUGAUUUUUGAUUAAAAUUUAAAAAGGAACUCGGCAAAUUUGAAUUCCGCCUGUUUAACAAAAACAUGGUUCUUAGAGUGAAGAAAGUAUUAAGAAUCUGGCCUGCUCAGUGGGAAAAUUCCUUAACAGCUAUGGUACCCUGACCAUACAAAGGUAGCAUAAUAAAUUGCCCCUUAAUUAGGGGCUAGAAUGAAUGGUAUGACGAGAUUUCUUCUGUCUCUUUUGAUUUCUAUUGAAAUUGUUUUUUGGGUGAAAAAACCCUAAUUUUAGUACAUGACAAAAAGACCCUAUAAAGCUUUUUUGAUUAUUUAGGAAAUUCCUUUUUAUAGAAUUUAGUUGGGGCGACUCUAGAAUGGGAAAAGCUUCUAGUGUGAUAAGUGAUAAACGAAUUUAUGAUCAGGAUAAAUUUUUCAUAUUAAAGGUAAAGUUACUUUAGGGAUAACAGGGCACUUCUUUUAAUGAGUACAUAUUUAUUAAAGAGUUUGCUACCUCGAUGUUGGAUUAAGGUAUCCUAAAGGUGUAUCCGCUUUUGAGGGUUGGUUUGUUCAACCAUUAAAACCUUACAUGAUCUGAGUUCGGACCGGCGUGAGCCAGGUCGGUUUAUAUCUGUAUUAGGAGUGGUAAAAAGUAGUACGAAAGGAUUCUUUUUAAUAACAUUGUUAGUUAU
rnacentral:rRNA from 1 species